AUUACUUUUUACCAUUGCAGAAGCCUCUCUAAAUUCAAGGAAGCAUAAAAUCAGAAACAUGAGUUUCCUGUUUACAAAGAUUGUGAACAGCUUCUACACAUGACAGUGUUUGCAGAACGGUAAAGGAGCAAAAGCUAUGACUUGGUGGUGUCACUUGGCAUGAUGGAUACAGCAGCAAGAGCUACCAGGACAUUUCAAUGCCUGGGCUGGGUUCAAGCUCUCUCUCCAGAUCCUCCAGCACACUGACUGCCUCCUCUCCAGUCUCUGGAUGGUGUGCCUGCACCCAUGUUUGCAAGUCCCUAGGAAGAAUGCUCAGGAACUGUUCCAGCACCAUCGGUGCGAGCAUGUCUGGUCACCACACCCUGAUGAGCCAUCGUGGGCAUCACCUUGCCCUCACCCAACCCUGCCCUCCAAGGACAGCACUGCGGUUGAGCUUCUCACACGUCUCUGCUGACAAUUGCUGUGACACCUCCAACCUUUCUGCAAAGUUCUAAACUAGUGACCAGACCCCACUCCCCCCACCUCACACACCCAAACCUGCAUUUUUCUAAGAAUUGUUGAUUCAUAUUUCAAAGAAGAACACAUAGAGGAGAACAGUGCUAAAGAUAGCAGAGGCUCAAUUGUCAAAACUCAAAUGAAACCACUCAGAGAGGGCAAGCUAUUCAUCCCACUUUACAGGUUAGGAGACUGAAAGCGCUUCUGACCUGGAGGAAGGGUAGGAGGGCCUUGGUUGGCAGAAAGGAGAGACUGUGGCCACGUCCCACCAAGACUGCCCUGAUGAAGGCCGUGUGGAGCUAUCAACAGACUCCUGCUACUCAUCGAGAGGCAGUUAACCCAGCCAAAGGAAGGUGUCCUCAGUAGGUGAGCAGGAUCCCAGUUGGCCUUUGGUUUCCACUACAUACCUUGAAUAAUUUCACUGGUAUUUGAUAAUAAAACACAAAACUGCUUUGUGGCUCUUCUAGCAUGCCGGUAUUUUUAAGUAAAUUAUAGGGAUUUUAAGUCCCAACAGGGAGUGUAUGUAGUAAAGGGAGGAAGCACCCUCCUGAGGUGGUAUUAGGGGCAUUAUAUGACUUCCCUGUGUGUGAGACCUUGAGCAGUUACCCUCCCACUUUGAUUGUAUUUCAGUGUGAAAUAGGGACCGUGCUCUCUAUUUCACAGAGUAACCAUGAGGAUUACUGCAGGUCAUGAAAAGAGUCUGGGAACUGCAAACAUGCCUUAAAUCAUUUAAUCUGUCAAGGACUGGAGACCCCAGCUCAGAUUUAGGAACCCACUUGAGGUAUGACCCAGAAGCUUCCUCUUAGCUGCCCGCUUCCCUUUUCUGAAAAUUGGCUCCUGCUCAGUGGUUUCUUCUGCCCACCUCAGGCAUCCAGUGUCUGGACAUUGUGCUGCUGUGCUGGCUGAUAAGAACACGCUAGUGAAAUGUCCCCACACCCUGUCAGCAGAAAGAGCUUAUCAGGGAGGAGCAUUUUUCUGAGCAGAUGGGUUAGUCACUAGAUAAUUUGUCAGCGCAUUAUUUUUACACCACAACAAAUCAUUUUAAACAU